CCGGCUGUGUGGCAUCCCGAUGCUGUACAGUCCCUUUCUAUAGUAAUUUACAGGAGAGCGGUGUGCUGACCACACGCCCCUCUAUAUCCGCAUCCAGUGACGCGUAUCCAAGUUGCCGAAGUGGAGUCAAAUCGAAAGACUUGCAGCCGGCAAACGGUCUACUCGACGAGAGGCCCUAGUCACACGACGCCUAUCGCCUGAGGACAACAUGGCUGUCGAAGUCACCCUGUUCAAUGAAACAGCCACUACAGACACUCAAAUAAUUUGCCUCUGGUGAUUUCUUUCAGUCCAUUAGAGACUUUAUUGGUACUGGAAAGGGGACAGCCAGCAUCCUUAUUAAAAGGAUGUGUAUCAAACUGGACAACAUGUGCAAAGACAGUUUUUUAAUUAUUUCAGUUGUGUGAUAUAAUUAAAAGAAACGAAAAUAAAAUACACAAAUGUAUAUGGAUUAAUAUAUUUUUAUUCUGAAA